GGGGAAAAGGUUACACAGAGGCAUGGCUAUCAAGAGAUGGGAAGUUAAUUGGAGGAUUACCUUAAAGUUUGUUCAUCGCAUAUACCAAAUCUGUCUUUGUAACCAAUUAAGUUCUAUGGGAAAUGAGAAAUGAAAUGGAACACAUUUUAUACUCUGUCAAGAACUUGCCUUUUGCCACCCUGAAGAUAUCCAUGCAUACGAAGUCGAAACCACUAGGGUAGGCGCCAUCUGCUGGUCAUAGAGGUUUACUGCAAAUUAUUAAGACUCCAGCUUUUGAAAAAGGGCCUUGUGAGUGUGGACUUUUGCUGAACAUGCUGCUUAUACUUGUUUCGGAUGAUCACGAGCC